ACAAAAUAAGGAAUGCUUCUGA
rnacentral:siRNA from 1 species